rnacentral:misc_RNA from 1 species
GAUGAAGAACGUAGCGAAAUGCGAUAAGUAAUGUGAAUUGCAGAAUUCAGUGAAUCAUCGAAUCUUUGAACGCACAUUGCGCCCGCCAGUAUUCUGGCGGGCAUGCCUGUCCGAGCGUCAUUUCAACCCUCAAGCCCCCGGGCUUGGUGUUGGAGAUCGGCGAGCCCCCCGGGGCGCGCCGUCUCCCAAAUAUAGUGGCGGUCCCGCUGUAGCUUCCUCUGCGUAGUAGCACACCUCGCACUGGGAAACAGCGUGGCCACGCAGUAAAACCCCCCACUUCUGAAAGGUUGACCUCGGAUCAGGUAGGAAUACCCGCUGAACUUAAGCAUAUCAAUAAGCGGAGGA